CCCGCUGAACUUAAGCAUAUCAAUAAGCGGAGGAAAAGAAACUAACAAGGAUUCCCCUAGUAACGGCGAGUGAAGCGGGAUGAGCUCAAAUUUAAAAUCUGGCUGGUUUACUAGUCCGAAUUGUAGUUUAAAGAAGCGUUUUCGGUGGCAGCCUGGGUAUAAAUCCUUUGGAAUAGGGUAUCAUAGAGGGUGAGAAUCCCGUCUUUGACUCAGUGCAUGCUACUAUGUGAUACGUUUUCAAAGAGUCGAGUUGUUUGGGAAUGCAGCUCAAAAUGGGUGGUAAAUUUCAUCUAAAGCUAAAUAUUGGCGAGAGACCGAUAGCGAACAAGUACCGUGAGGGAAAGAUGAAAAGAACUUUGAAAAGAGAGUUAAACAGUGCGUGAAAUUGUUGAAAGGGAAACGUUUGACACCAGUCAUGCGAGUGGAAAAUCAGUCUUUUGGGGCGAGGAGUGGUAGGAGUUUAGACCGCAAGGCUAGCUUUUGUCUCAUCUUUGUUCUAAAGGAUGCACUUUUUCAUUUGCAGGUCAACAUCAGUUUCUUCUGCUGGACAAAACUCUGAGAGAAGGUAGCAGCUUAGGCUGUGUUAUAGCUCUGGAGCGAUACAGUGGAGGGGACUGAGGUUUUCGCAGUGUGUGCUUUCGGGCAAGGUCGACUGGGUGCUAUGUGAUCGUUCGGUGUACAAUGCAUGCAUUUUGCGCUGUGUCUUUUGCAUACUCGCUUGAAUCGACUCUUCCACGCUUAGGAUGUUGACUUAAUGGUUUUAAACGACCCGUCUUGAAACACGG
rnacentral:rRNA from 1 species